UACGUAGGGACCAAGCGUUGUCCGGAUUGACUGGGCGUAAAGCGCACGCAGGCGGGGGUGCGCGUGGGGUGUGAAAUCUGGCCGCUUAACGGCCAGGCGCCAUCCCAUACGGCACGCCUGGAGCCUUGCAGAGGUCGGUGGAAUUGCCGGUGUAGUGGUGAAAUGCGUAGAGAUCGGCAGGAACACCCAGGGGGAAACCAGCCGACUGGGCAAGUGCUGACGCUGAGGUGCGAGAGCGUGGGGAGCGAACCGG
rnacentral:rRNA from 1 species